rnacentral:lncRNA from 1 species
CUGCCUGGAGCUGUUGAUGUGGAAGGCAAUGGGGAGACACCAACCCUCUGGAAAGCACAGGUGGCGUCUACUUCAAAGAAUAGCACUGCGACACCCGCGCUUCCACUCUGAAGGACCAUCUGAUGAGCAGGUGCUUCUGGCUGUAGAGAAAGCCACCCUCAAAAGGCACUUGUGAGACAAAUGAGACGAGAAAGAGAAAAGAGAGCCAGAAAGGCUGGGGGGACAAGAGAGGGUGCUUCCGAGGGGAAUGUGGAGUGUGGAAGGAGGUGUGUGAGAGGUGGGUGUGGAAGGAGAAGAGAGGUGGGUGUGGAAGGAGGUGAGAGGUGGGUGUGGAAGGAAGUAUGAAGUGGGUGUGGAAGGAGGUGAGUGUGAGAGGUGGGUGUGGAGGUGUGAGGUGGAUGUGGAAGGAGGUGAGAGAGGUGGGUGUGGAAGGUGAGAGGUGGAUGUGGAAGGAGGUGAGAGGGGUGUGGAAGGAGGUAUGAAGUGGGUGUGGAAGGAGGUGAGUGUGAGAGGUGGGUGUGGAAGGUGAGGUGGGUGUGGAAGGAGGUGAGAGGGGUGUGGAAGGAGGUAUGAAGUGGGUGUGGAAGGAGGUGAGUGUGAGAGGUGGGUGUGGAGGUGUGAGGUGGAUGUGGAAGGAGGUGAGUGUGAGAGGUGGGUGUGGAGGUGUGAGGUGGAUGUGGAAGGUGAGUGUGAGAGAUGGGUGUGGAAGGUGAGAGGUGGGUGUGGAAGGAGGUGAGAGGGGUGUGGAAGGAGGUAUGAAGUGGGUGUGGAAGGAGGUGAGUGUGAGAGGUGGGUGUGGAGGUGUGAGGUGGAUGUGGAAGGAGGUGAGUGUGAGAGGUGGGUGUGGAAGGAGGAGAGUGUGGUGGGUGUGGAAGGAGGAGUGUGAGGUGGGUGUGGAAGGAGGAGAGUGUGAGGUGGGUGUGGAAGGAGUGUGAGGUGGGUGUGGAAGGUGUGAGGUGGGUGUGGAAGGCCGUGAGUGUGAGGUGGGUGUGGAAGGUGUGAGGUGGGUACGGAAGGCAAUGAGUGUGAGGUGGGUGUGGAAGGCAGUGAGUGUGAGGUGGGUGUGGAAGGCAGUGAGUGUGAGGUGGGUGUGAAUGGAUGUGUGUUUGUGACAGGCUGCUGUGGACAGAGGCAUACAUGUGCAAUGAGGAGUUGGGCACCAGGCAUUAGUGGCAGGGGAGGCACUGGCACGUGUCACUAUGAUGAGGGGACAGGGACACCACCCUGGUUGGAGGCCCCAUCUGUGCCACGCUAGGGAAAGCAGCGCCUGCACCAGGCCCCCGGAACUAAAGUGUCCACUGCGGGGCUCUGUCAAGGGGCCAGGUCAAGGACACAGGGACACUGCCUGUGCCGGCUGAGGGCCAUAUGUGGUGGCUGCCGUGCUCGGCCUCUUCCAGGUG